CAUCAGGUACACACCUCUUAUUUAUUUUGACAAAAUUAAAUAACAGAAAAAGUCCAACAACCUUCCUUCCGGAGUGAUGGAAAAUAUGAUCAGAAAACUGAUGACUCUAAAAAAGAAAAUACUAAUGAUAAAAGUGAUGUGGCAGUUCCAAGAGUCAAACAACAGAGUCCAGUACAGUAUCCGGAAUUGAAUCAAUUACAAAGACAUAAUCCUAAAGUAGUAGUUAAGGUGAUAGGUGAAAGUGGAGCUCUAAAAACUAUAAUUGGCGAAGAUAAGUUACAAAGAACUAAAAUAUCUGUGGAGUUAAGACCUUUUGGUGGUUUAGAAGCAGAUCUUGAAGUUCUCAAAAAUAUAAAUCAUACCUUUGAGCUGUCAAAGCCUGAAAUUGACAUUGACAAUUAUUCUUAUUAUCUUUUACCAGAUUUAAAUGAAAAUUCUCCACUGCGUUACGCUGAAAAUUUUGAUAACGUUCCAAAAAAGACGGAAGGCGAACUGACAUUUUAUAAAUUGACAGAUCAGCAUGAAUGUCCUGAAAUACCACAAAAUAUUGAUCCAGUACCUGAGCAUGUUAAAAGUGGCCAUUUGAAAAAAGGUGAAAACGAAGAGGCUCUAGGGACCGAAGAUUCUGAAGAGGGAGAUGAUGAAGAAGAAGAGAGUGUCGUCGAUAAAAAACAACCAGCAACACCGAAGACACCUAGUAGAAGUAGAAAAAAAAACAAAUUAAAUUAAGUCAUGUCAUGUCAACUAUAAACGAUUUGCAACAAGGUUAGUAUUGAACAGUACAGGCUUGAAAUCGCCUUUUACGUUUGUAAAUUUAGUGCACAGUAUUUAUUAUAUACUUGAACAUUAAACUUAAGCUUAUUCCUCUGA